ensembl:lncRNA
CUCUGCUGAAUGUAGGACACGGAGCAAGGGAUCAAGCCGACUGUUGGACUUCAUGUCAACACAUUCGGAUCCAUCCUCCUCUGAGAGCCGCGUUCACAAUGUCUGGUCUCCCGCCUGGGGGCACAGGGCCUGUGUCCUCCCUGGCUUGAGGCUCAAAACAUCAUUCGGAAGAUUUUCUGACUCCUGUUGGGACCAUACAAACACUUAAGUUGUUGUAGUGCAUUCUCCAUAGAAUAAAAAAUGAUGAAGAAGGCAGCUAGAAGAACAGAAAGUAUUUCAGCAGUGCUUGCCUGGGAAGCUCCUAAGAUAACGACAUUCAUUCAUUAAACAUCCUACGUUUAUGCCCCUGCAGAUGACAUUUUCUAAACUCCGUACUAUCACAUAACAAGUGCCUCCUUUCUGCCAGCCAUCAAGAAUAUUGUUCUUUCCUUCCUUACACCUCUCACUGAGAACCCUGUUUUAAGGGCCACCUGGCUUCUGUUAAUAGUCACUCACUUUUUAAUUUUGAUUAAUUCUCACCUUAGAGUUUUUCAAGAUUCCAUUUCCCUACACGUCAUUCAUUCCCCAAACCACUCACAUGUAUAUAUAGCAUUAAUUUUAUCCAGAACCCCACUUACAAAUACUAAAAUCUCACAUAACCCCAAAACUUAGUGAGUUCAUACCAAUUGUGCUCACAAACCUGCAGGUUGGCCAAAGGAUAUUUCAUCUCUGCUCCUGGCUGCCAGCUGAGGAGGUUUGAAGAUUGACUAUUAGAAUCACCUUGGGACUCAUCCAGUCAAAAAGAAGAGGUGGAAACUGUUGGCUGAGGCUGAGGCUGGCCCUGGACUGGGCUAAAACACACACCCAACCAAGAUAUGUGGCUUCUUAUCACCUGCCUUGCAUGAUGGCUGUUUUCCAAGAUGAAGCAUCCCAAGAUAAUAAGGCAGAAGCUUUAUUUCUUUUAUGAAAUAAAAUCUAUAUUAUGUGACUUGUUAUGUAACUUGCAUGAAAGCUACAUAGCAUUACUCUUGCCAUAUUUGACUCUUAGGCAUGUUCAAGAAGAAAAGCACAUGCUCCACCUCUCAGCUAUAGAAAGAACAUUUCUGAUAGAUGAUAUUGCUGUACUUGUCUUUGGUAAUCAUAAUCUGUCACAAAAGAACUUCUUUAGUAAAAAAAAGAAUCCUUGUUUGAUUAAGCCAUCAUAAUCAAGUUACUAUAAUGUACAAAUACUCUGUUAUAGAUGCAUAUUGCAUAUGUUUUUAUUUCAUGUUGUAUAUGCCUCCCCAACUAGACUAUAAAUGCCACUAGAGCAGGGUUUAUUUCUACUUUAUUCUCUAUCCUAUUCAUACUGGCUGUUAAUUUUAAUGAAAAUUGUUGAAAUUCAUUUGCUGAAAACAAUGGACUGCAUGUUCCCUGAAGCAGUAAAAAGAGAAGGCUGAGAGCUGUGGGAGGUAAAGUUUUUCAUCAUGGUUGAGUAUGAAGUUCCAUGUUUUGCCAGACGCUGACCACAGUCCCAAUAGGGCUGAGUCUCAUGGACCCGAAGGGACUUUUGGGCUUGUUAGUGCGCUUGCCUAGAAGUCAGGCUGCUCAGGAAUUUUAAAUGUGUGUGUGUGUGUGUGUGUGUGUGUGUGUGCAUGCCUGUGUGUAUGUGAGUGGGUGUAUAUGCAUGUGUGUACACACAAAUACUAUGAGCGCAAAUAGCAGUUGAAAAACUGAGCAAAGCUCUUUGGCAAUAACUUUCCCAGGACAUUUUAUUGGCAAGCGCAGUUUGUUCUGCAACUUCCUAAUGAAACAGCUUUGAAAUAAACCUGAGUUUGUGCCACAGGGCAAACUGGAAGAAGUGAGAUUGCUUUUUAAUUCAGGUAGUAUGUCAUGAAAAUAUUCUGAUUUCGUAUGGAAAGCCAUGACAAACAAUGUCCAUGUGAGAAUCUCUCAAGCAUUGUAAACAGAAAGCAUAAAAAAAUCCCCAAACAUAGUAGUUGUAUCAUUAGUCGCAUUAUGAUCCCAAGAAAUAAGAUAAACUGCUACUAUUCUUAGAUUUAUUGUUUAGAGAAGUUUCCUAUGGUGUCAUGCAUUGGACUGUCUAAUAAAAACACUCAUGCUUCUUCCAAAGUAUAAAAUCAGUGAUGGAAAAUAAAGCUAUCUCAGAGAAAAAGGGCAACAUUUUUUCCUUCCCUUAGAGCACAUGUGAUUACUUCACCCUCUGAGGAAUGCAUGCUGUAAAUACUGGAUUUAUAGCAACACCUCAGAUAAUUAAUUUUGGGCAUGUGUUUAGGCAUAGAAUUGCCGACUGCCCACAUAAUGCCCCUUUUUGUUCACUCUUAGUCUCAGAAGAAUGUGAUGCUAUAGGACUACUACGUUUAUGUUUUUGUUCAGGAGAAGAAAGUUCAUGUUUUUUAAAAGAGCAAUAUUAUUUUAGCAAUCUGAACCAACUUGUAGGAAAGAAAUAAGGCCUUUUACAAUUUGAAUAAAUGGCUUCAAACCAAUAUGUUAUUUGAAACACUAUUUUACAUGACACAUUCAUUUUUUUGUCUCACCCACACAUAACUCUGCAAAUAGAUUUUGAGUUCAAGCUGUCUCAUGGGUAAAAGUAUACGGCUCAAUGUUUCUGUUGGAUUUAGCUGAGCUCAAAGAGUAUCUGGAUUUGUUGGUCAUGGCAUUCCCUCUUAAACCCUCAAGUGUCUGUUUGAGCCCAGUUAUACCAGAAAAAUUCAACAAUUCAAGGUUUCCUUUUCUGUGUAGAAACAUCUGUGUGCGUGGAUUAAGUUUUAAUAAAUAUAAGCAUAUUAUCAUUUGCUGAAAAAAAAUGACAAAAGAGUAUAUAGCUGGUGGGGUUUUUUUUCUACUUGUUUCAAUAUUUUAAUAAAUUGUAUGAUAUGAUCUAAUUCCUUUUGCUUUAAAAUAGCUCUUUCGGUAAAGAGUCAUGCAGAAAAAAAGUUUCAAAAGAAAAAUUCUGAAAAUGUCUUUAAUAAACUAGUUUGUUGCUUAUAUUUAAACUUUAGUCCUAUUAUUUGCAGUACUGUGUUGUGCACUUAAUAUUUUAUUAAAAGAGUAGAUCUCAUGUAUAAUAUUCUUACAAUAUACACAUACACAUAUAUACAAACAAAAAGAUACAAAGAAAUGCUUGGUGAUCAUGUUAAUUAUUUUGGAUGGAGUCCUGUGGAACACUCCGAAUCAGCCCCGCUGCAGACAGGCAGGUCUGUGCACGCCCUACCGAGGUCCUGAG